UCCAGGGCCUGAUGUAACAGUGGAUGAGCAACUGGUUCCAUUUAGAGGUCGUUGUCCUUUCCGGCAGUAUAUGCCCAGCAAGCCAGCAAAAUAUGGGAUCAAGUCAUGGGUGGCUUGCGAUGCCAAAUCAAGCUAUGCUUGGAAAAUGCAAGUCUACACUGGGAAGUCAACCAGUGGAUGCCCAGA